rnacentral:lncRNA from 1 species
AAACCUUCGACUAUACGCAUGAGUCUUUCUAGACUCUACUCGAUCUGGUCUUUCGAAACUCGAUGUGUCUACUCUCUUGAUAUCCUUGUCAUUUCCUACAUUCAUGAAAUUCAAAUUUAGAGACAUUUUCCUAUGUUUCAUAAUUUUAUCUAAGUCUUAUGUAACCCUAAGUCUCGUAUUUAAGGGAUGUCCUAGAACUGUGCUCUGAUACC